GACGAACGCUGGCGGCGUGCUUAACACAUGCAAGUCGAACGAUGAAGCUGGAGCUUGCUCCGGUGGAUUAGUGGCGAACGGGUGAGUAACACGUGAGCAAUCUGCCCUUGACUCUGGGAUAACUGCGGGAAACUGUAGCUAAUACCGGAUAUGAGGCUCGAAGGCAUCUUCGGGUCUGGAAAGAAUUUCGGUCAAGGAUGAGCUCGCGGCCUAUCAGCUUGUUGGUGAGGUAAUGGCUCACCAAGGCGACGACGGGUAGCCGGCCUGAGAGGGUGACCGGCCACACUGGGACUGAGACACGGCCCAGACUCCUACGGGAGGCAGCAGUGGGAAAUAUUGCACAAUGGGCGCAAGCCUGAUGCAGCAACGCCGCGUGAGGGAUGAAGGCCUUCGGGUUGUAAACCUCUUUUAGCAGGGAAGAAGCGAAAGUGACGGUACCUGCAGAAAAAGCACCGGCUAACUACGUGCCAGCCGCCGCAGUAA
rnacentral:rRNA from 1 species